rnacentral:rRNA from 1 species
CCCUUAGAUGUCCUGGGCCGCACGCGCGCUACACUGAGUGUCUGAGAUACGAGUCUGCCUGGUCCGGCAAGGUCUAGGUAAUCGCUAAAAGACACAUCAUGCUUGGGAUAGAUUAUUGCAAAUAUUAAUCUUGAACGAGGAAUUCCUAGUAAGCGCAAGUCAACAGCUUGCGUUGAUUACGUCCCUGUCCUUUGUACACACCGCCCGUCGCUACUACUGAUUGGAUGUUUAAGCGAGGUUCUCGAACUGCUAGCGACUUAGCUUCGGUGAGGUCGCAGUGUGGGAAGUGAACCGAGCUUUGGUGUCUAGAGGAAGUAAAAGUCGUAACA